GAAAAAGAAAAGCUCUAACCCUACUCUACAUAAUACAUGCCUCUUUUCCUCCCUCUCCUCCCACACGUUUUUUUCCCUCUCCCCUCUCUCCCAAGUGCUCCAAAUCAAUCCUUCAUUGUUGCUUCGAUUUGGAGUUGGAAACUCAAGAUCCGUUCGCACCAAUUGUCUUUUCUACCGAUUAUUUUCAAGAGAAAGGUUGAGCAGGAUGUUGCGCCGGAUGUUGAGUCGAGCCUUUAGGUUUCCCGGAUGCGUCGUGUCUUCAUACAUGGGCGUCAUCCUAUGAAUCUCUCUAGAUACUUGAUUUCCGCUGCCUUGUUGAAAUUGCUUUCCUUCUAAAAGUCUUUCGUUUUUCCCCACACUAUGUUAAGACAUUAUUUACCUUGAGACAUUAAUUCGUUGUUUAACUAUUCGAUAGACCAAAAUAUUUCUUUUGGAAAUUUAUUUGAGGUUUCAUAAUAAAUGUCGACCUUUAUUGUU